AGAAAGUGAUCCUUCACCAAUUCGGACUCACGCCCUUGAAACUUGUGCGUGGUGAUGCACUGCUUUCUUGGUUGUCUCCUUGGAAACCGCAGCCUGACAGGUCCUCUGCUGGCGCCGAGAAGAGCGCCUGGAGGGGCAGGUGUUCUCAGGAUGCCGACUGCGCCUGCGCUCGGCCACCGCGCCCUCGUAGUAAGAGAGGCCCGGAUGGAGGACGCGGAGACGCGCCGUUGCUAUGGCAGCCGGGUCCUCGCCGCGGUGGGAACAGGUGCUGGGGUCUCCCUCACCUCGCUGUCAGAGCUUAGAAAGAGGAAGAGAGGAGAACUCCCUCGGCCAUCUCUGUGACCCCAGCCGCUGCAUCUUACACAGCAUUAUUCUUUAACAAACGGAAAAUGGAUGAAAAUAAAGAUAUGGACUCAAAAGAAAGUGGAGAAUAUGAAGAUGACUUCGAAAAGGACCUGGAAUGGUUAAUUAAUGAAAAAGAAAAAAGUGAUACCGGCAUAAUAGAGAUGGCUUGUGGGAAUGAAGAGAAUAUUAACCAAGAAUUAAAAGACAAUGAAACAGAAAUGGAACACACCAAACAGCACUCUGAUCCUGAUAAAUCCUUGAAGGGUGAGCUUUCACCAAGAAGAAAUGACUUCAUUUCUGUACCGAGUAUUCAACCUUUGGAUCCCAUAUCAGAUUCAGAUAGUGAAAACUCUUUCCAGGAAUCCAAAGUGGAAAGCCAGAGAGACCUGGAAGAGGAAGAGGAUGAGGAAGUAAGGAGAUAUAUUAUGGAGAAAAUUAUACAAGCCAACAAGAUUCUACAGAGUCAAGAACCUGUGAAUGAUAAAAGGGAGCGAAAACUUAAGUUCAAAGACAAAUUAGUUGAUCUGGAAGUUCCUCCACUGGAAGACACUGAUACUCACCAAAAUUAUUUUGAAAAUGAAAGUAGUAUGUCAGGGAAACUGUCACAGUUAUGUAUUUCCAGUGAAUUUGGACAAGAAAAUGUGCUCCUGUCACUAACUGAUGGAAACUGUGAAGAAAACAAGGAUAGGAAAAUAUUAGUUGAGAGAGAUGGAAAGUUUGAACUUAUGAAUUUACAAGACAUUGAGAGUCAGGGGUUUUUGCCCCCCAUUAAUGCUAAUAGUACAGAAAAUGAACCUCACCAGUUGUCACCCAGAUCUUCAAACUCAAAUGUCAAUGGGGUCAAGAAAGAAGAGCCUAUAGCAAAGAUUCAUGCUAUUGUUCACUCACUAACAGAAGAGCCACUGGCUUAUAUCCCUCAGCCACCACCCAACCCCAAGACUCGUCCAAGCUCUGCUGCCUGCUCGGAUCGAAGUAGGGGGAAUGGGAAAUAUAACCACAGGACACACUCUGCAAAUAUAUCUCCAGUGACCUCAACAUAUUGUCUUUCCCCUCGACAGAAAGAACUGCAAAAACGGCUAGAACUAAAGAGAGAAAAGCUAAAGAGGGAGAUCCUUUUAGAACUCUCCCCAGAUUUCUGGCAAGAAGACUGGAAUGAAGAAAUGGAGGAGGGUACAGAGGAAGUGACGAUGGUGCAGAGGGAAAGAGGAAGAUGGUUCCAGAGGCAGGACCUUGGUGCAGGAUGGCAGUUGCGUGACCAGAGACAAAGGAAGAGGAGAAAGGGAAGAAGAUGGUGCCUGAGACCCAAAAGAGGAUGGGUCUUUUUAAAAUUGUUUGUUUGCUUCAGUUAAUUUAGAAAUGGUAUUUUGUAAAGAAGAGAUUUUUAGAAUCCUGAAUAUGUUUAAAAGCUUCCAGGUACCAACUGAAAUAGGCAUCCCAUUUGAUUGUCUUUAUAACCCUUUUCCAGUUGUGCAUACAAAGUGAACUAAUUUUAGGAUAUGAAAAGUGCCUGUUUUGGCCGAUGAAGUUUUAAAUCAUCUUGGGUAAUUUGAUCCAAUGGGGAAAAUUCACAGCAAGAAGGGCCGUAUUCCUUAACAAAAAUACUGCAGGUGUUGCAGUAAGGGGCUGAUUAGUAGAAGCUCCUUUGAAGGAUUAUUUCCAAUAAUUGAGUACUUACCAAGAGCCUGAAACCCAAAUAUUCCGUUCAAAAUGAGUGAAGAUAGAAUCCUCCCCCUCAAAAAUGAGUGAGGACGGAAGCCAGCAACAGAGGACACCCAAAUAAAGGCCUGAACCUUGACCGAGGUGGAGGUUCAGGACCAAGAGGAUUUAUCAUUGUGACUCGAGGCCACCAAGGAUACGUCAGAUUGCAGGGGACUCUUGGUACCAGAGACAGAGUCCAGGCACUCUGGAUCCUACCAACUAUGCCAAGUAAUGCUGGUCAAGAAGAAGAGGCUGCGAAACAACCAGAGCAUUUGUUUGGAGUCUUAGGGAUUGCAACCCGGGAAACAGGGUCAACCCAAAUGGAAAGUGCUCUGACUUGUCAGCAGGGCGUGCAGGCUUGUGAAGACAAAAGCCACAAAAACUUGUUUUGAAAGAUAGUUUAAACUGACCAUCUAAUACACAAUUGGCUAUUUAGAUGAGAAUACUGAGUUAAGUGGGUUGCCCAAACUACAUCGUCUGAUGGCGGAAGAGCAACGAAAAAUAGAAGAAGAGAAAGAAAAGAAAAAAGAGAAUGACAUGGUAUUUAAAGCAUGGUUGCAAAAGAAAAG